UCCGAUAUGGUGUAACGGCUAACAUUACCGCCUUUCACUCCUCGUCUCCUUGAUGAGUUCGCGGUAGCUCGGGGUUCGAUUCCCCGUAUCGGAG